AUACUUACCUGGACGGGGUCAAUGGGUGAUCAAACAGGCUCAUGGCCUAGGUUGGUGACGUCCAUUGCACAUAAAGGAGGGGUGCCCGCCUAAGGUCUUCCCAAGAGGAAGCUCCUACGUCAAUAUUUCUUGCACUGGGGGCCUGCGUUCGCGCGGCCCCUGC